UUGUAAUGAAGGGGUUACUGUCUCGGUGCAGUGUAAUAGUCAGUGAGGGCUGACUUGGCUGGAACAGACGUUAACUUCCACAGUAAAUCUGGCAGGAGCUGGUAAUUAUGGAAAAAGCAGCCAGGGGUCAUGCCCAGCCAAAGCUUGGGAGUAACAGAGCAGAAAAUCAAAACAGGGGGGGAAGGGAAGUUACGCUCAUCAUCGCCUUCGGCCUUCCCUGCUCUCCUCUGAACUAUCAGGGGCCUGUCAUCGGUUUGUUAUGCUUAGAAGCAGCCCCUGGAAGAUGAGCUGAACAAGUGCUGAGGAUACGGGGAGGAAAACGGACCUUAAUCUUCACAGACAGCAGUGGAAAAUGCAGAUCCUUCAUGCAAAUCUGAAACGCAUCCAAAAUAAA